CGUGGGUAACCUGCCCAAGAGAUCGGGAUAACACCUGGAAACAGGUGCUAAUACCGGAUAACAACAGAUGAUGCCUAUCAACUGUUUAAAAGAUGGUUCUGCUAUCACUCUUGGAUGGACCUGCGGUGCAUUAGCUAGUUGGUAGGGUAACGGCCUACCAAGGCGAUGAUGCAUAGCCGAGUUGAGAGACUGAUCGGCCACAUUGGGACUGAGACACGGCCCAAACUCCUACGGAGGCAGCAGCC
rnacentral:rRNA from 1 species